rnacentral:rRNA from 1 species
GAUGAACGCUGGCGGCGUGCCUAAUACAUGCAAGUCGAGCGAACAGACGAGGAGCUUGCUCCUCUGACGUUAGCGGCGGACGGGUGAGUAACACGUGGAUAACCUACCUAUAAGACUGGGAUAACUUCGGGAAACCGGAGCUAAUACCGGAUAAUAUAUUGAACCGCAUGGUUCAAUAGUGAAUGACGGUUUUUCUGUCACUUAUAGAUGGAUCCGCGCCGCAUUAGCUAGUUGGUAAGGUAACGGCUUACCAAGGCAACGAUGCGUAGCCGACCUGAGAGGGUGAUCGGCCACACUGGAACUGAGACACGGUCCAGACUCCUACGGGAGGCAGCAGUAGGGAAUCUUCCGCAAUGGGCGAAAGCCUGACGGAGCAACGCCGCGUGAGUGAUGAAGGUCUUCGGAUCGUAAAACUCUGUUAUUAGGGAAGAACAAAUGUGUAAGUAACUAUGCACGUCUUGACGGUACCUAAUCAGAAAGCCACGGCUAACUACGUG